rnacentral:rRNA from 1 species
GGGAGUGGCAAGCGUUAUCCGGAAUUAUUGGGCGUAAAGCGUCCGCAGGCGGCCUUUCAAGUCUGCUGUUAAAGCGUGGAGCUCAACUCCAUCAUGGCAGUGGAAACUGAUCGGCUUGAGUAUGGUAGGGGCAGAGGGAAUUCCCGGUGUAGC